rfam:Pirellula sp. SH-Sr6A, complete genome.
UCCGGUGACUAUAUCGAAAAGGAUCACCUGUUCCCAUCCCGAACACAGUAGUUAAGCUUUUCGAGCCGAUGAUAGUGCCCACCAGUGCGAAAGUAGGUAUUGCCGGAU